rnacentral:sRNA from 1 species
UACAACCAAAAAAGAAAAAAACAGUCACAAGGGGCUUGUGAAAUAUCUUUGAGAUAUUUCUUAAUGGGAUCAAAGAAUGAAAUGAAAAGGAGGCGCGCAUACAAUUGUCAUACUCUCAAAUAACACAAGAAAUGAACAACUUACCAGAAUUACGAUGAUAUUUAUUUUUGCGACAAGUCUGGGUCCUGUUUUAAAAAACACGAAUAGUCAAGGGGAAAACCCAAUAAAAAAUUACGUUAAAAGUGACAGGCUUCCCUGGAGUCAUGUUCCAAUUGAACUGAAGAAGUCUUUUACUUAAGACACUGCAUUGAUGUGAAUUGCCAAAGAAAAUCACCGAGGAUGAACAACGAAGACGCAGACCUCGCAGACUUCAGCAACAGCAGCGUUUUGUCAACAACAAACAACAACUUGACAAAGUCCUUUUUUGGGGUUGUGUGUGUGUGUAUGUGAGCCUGUUCGCCGUACAUAUAUGGAGUAAAUUGCAGAACGAAUUUGUGAGACUACGACAAGGAACAACAAUCGAUGUAAUCCAGAUAAACCUUCACCGGAGCGAGACGGCAACUCACACUCUCAUGGAUAUGGUCAGUAAAGCUAAGAUACUUAACAGGGUUACGAGACUAACCGUGUCAACUAUCAGGCUCCCGACCGAAAAGCUUCAAUAGAGUGAAGGAACCUACCUGACGACGGAUGAGAAAGGCAAAACAAAUAGGAAAAAAGUCCUUUUUAGGGUAGUGGCAUCCCUUAUCCAAAUGAAAUUGAGGAUUCUGGAAUGCUUUUGGCUGUGCGGCACGAAAGAUGAGUUGCUUAUUGGACCAACAACGAUGACAACAGCAUCAAAUGCAACGGGUGAUGAUGGUGCGGCUGCCUUUGUGCUGCAGUAUGCAUAUGUAUGAGAGUCCUGGCUGCAUUAUGUCAUAAGUUAUGUUGCAUGCCAAAUGAACAUUUAUGUUGUUCACAUAUACUCACAUAUCAAUGUGGAUAUGUAUGUAUGUACGGGGCAAUGGUGCCAUUACGGUUCAACAUUUAAGAUUUUACCCAAGUGAAUGCAAAAUUGGAGUACACGGCAAGAAUUUAGCUUCAGGAUAUAGAA